rnacentral:lncRNA from 1 species
AUGGGUGGGUUGAGUUGGGUUGGGGUGUGUUGGAUUGGGAUGGAAUGGGACGGGUGGGUUGGGUUGCGUUGGGAUGGGAUGGCUUGGAUUGGGAUGGGAUGGGUGGAUUUUGUUGGGUUGGGUUUUGUUGGAUUGGGAAUUGGGAUGGGAUGGGAGGAUUAGGUUGAGUUGGGAUGGGAUGGCUUGGAUUGGGAUGGGAUGAAUAUCAUGGAGCGGGACAGGAUGGGAUGGGGAUUCACACAAGGAAGGAGAUGGGGUUUGGAUGGGAAUGGGGAUUCAGAUAGGGGUUGUGGGUAGGGAUAAGGAAGGGAUUGGAGUUGGGGAUGGGGAUGGGGACGGGGACAUGGAAAGGGAUGGGUCAUGGGGUGGGUGCUCACCCCCCUCUCCCCUAGGUGCGUCCGGGCCAGUUUCACCGGCGGCUGUGGCGCUCCACGCGCCGCAUCUCGCAGGUUUCGGCUGGCGAGACGGAGUACAACCCCAACGAGGGCAGGUCCUAGGCUGCCACCCCACACCCGGCCCCGCUGGGCUUCCCGCAGCUCCCGGCCCCUCCUGGGGGGCACGGCGAUAAAGGGGGGGACCCCGUGACCCCCCCACAUCAGCGCCCCGAGCC